rnacentral:piRNA from 1 species
UCUGCUUAUUCAGAAUGGACAAUGUGCAC